UCCCGGUUAACCCGGGCAGUCUCACUAGAGUUCCCACCUUCACGUGCUGGCAACUAAUGAUAAGGGUUGCGCUCGUUGCGGGACUUAACCCAACACCUCACGGCACGAGCUGACGACAGCCAUGCAGCACCUGUACAAAGACCCUCGCGGGCUACGCUAUCUCUAACGUAUUCCUUUGUAUGUCAAACCUGGGUAAGGUUCUUCGCGUUGCAUCGAAUUAAACCACAUGCUCCACUGCUUGUGCGGGUCCCCGUCAAUUCUUUUGAGUUUCACCCUUGCGAGCGUACUCCUCAGGCGGUAUACUUAUCGCGUUAGCUACGGCACAGCCGGGGUUGAGUCCAGCUACACCAAGUAUACAUCGUUUACGGCAAGGACUAC
rnacentral:misc_RNA from 1 species